ensembl:lncRNA
CGGCGGACGGAAUAAUCCUCUGAUUACAUACAAAGUCUUAUAUCAUUUAUGUUUGGUCUUGAAUUCCAUUGUCUGUGUCAUGGAUUCCAUGGUUGCCUUUUGUUUGUAAAAGUAAUCCGUAGACAGUUGUUUAAUACAAGACAAACCAGCGUUUUCAUUUCGGCCAUCUCCGCAUUUGCAAUGAAAUGCCUGUAUUUUGUCAAUUUCCUUCUCAUACCCCAGAUAGCAAAAAAUAUCCGCACGGAUUCUUUUUGCCGCCGGCCCUAAGCUGUCGGCUAUAGGUGCGUCCUGCUGGCGGGAUGAAACGUUUGCCGCCGAAUACGUCACUCCCAUUUCUUGCGAGAUGCCUGUUUCAUUUUCUCUGGCGAUUGCCUCGGUCUAAUGGACCGCGGUCGUCCGGCGGCAAGAUGCUUUUAAAUACAAGGCUACUCUCAAAAUCGACCAGCCAUGUUGGUUUGGACACACAUUCGCAUCAGUUCGUCGCUCAAUCGCGAGUUACAGCCUGCAGUUUGCUAGCUAGCAAAGUCAUCGACUACCAUCGUUUAAAUACCUUGGCCAGAGCAUAAUCGGUUGUCUUCACCCAAGAGACCUACUGUUCUAACCUACGGUCGAUCAUUUUGGCUUUAAAGGUAAAUGCAUUGUUAGUCACAAUGUCUAGUUACUGGGCCAAAAGGAAAAUAAUAUUGAAAAGAGUUGAGAGGGACAAACAGGACAUUCACUUGAAUCACUACAUGCUACAGAAUUUGCAACGAUUCCAGAAAACCAGGAAAAUGUUGCGCCAUCUGUAGACUUCAGAGCUGAACCAGGUUUCUCCCCAGUACUCCAGACUCCACUUCACAGAGUUUGAGUGCAAGGCACUUGACUUUCUGGAUAAAAGGUGUCAAGCUCGUCAAGUACUAAGCUUUACACCACCAGCAGCAGAUUUAUCCUGGCAGCAUAUUGGUGAAAACGCUGGAGGAGAGAGUCAUCGCUUUGUUAUUGGCCCUUGGACGCCCCUGCAUCUCGUGUACAGCACAAAGAUUUCCAGAGACUCCAGAAUGAAAACCAAGCUCUGAGGGAGGAGAACCAAGCCCUGAGGGAAUGCAAUGCACAAGCAGCUUCGGAUGACAGCGGCUCACUUCAAGAGCAGGUGAAGCAAGUAGGGACAAUGUUGAAGACGUUUGCUCUUACUGGGCAAUCAGGUACGUUACCUGAAAGGAGCAUCUGACCGUGAAGGCAGAAAAAGGCGCCGCACAGCUGAGAAGGACCCACAGCCGACCCCUUAAACCUAGGCUGACUACUGACACCCCAGCAUCACUGAACUGGAAAACUUUCUUUAUCCUGCAGUCAGUAACAUCAAGAAGCCAGAAGUGCCAGACUACCAAAUCCACCUUGUUUUUUGUAUUUUAACUUUAGUAUUGGCUUAUUUCAUUCCGUCUUAACGAUUCUAUUAUAGUUUGUAAAUCCUAUUUCAUACCUGUUACUUGAUAUUGCACAUUAACUGGUACCAAAAUUCUACUUUCAUUUCAUCAGUGUGCUUAACUGUGUGCUUUACAAGAGACACAGAUCUUAUUGCAGCACGGUGUAAAUCUUGUGCUCCAGGUCAGCAAUGCCAUUAUAAUGGUCUAUUCUACUCUAGAGCUUUACUCAAAAUUAUUACUACUUUUCGUAAUGUUAGAAAUGGCUUGAAAAUGUGAUGUUAUACCUCGAUUUAUUUGGUAUCCUGCACAUUCUUUGGUACCAAAUAUCCUCAUUACUUAUGUUUACUGGUAAUUAUUUUCAUUCCAGAGCUGACCUCUUUAUAUUAUUAACAAUUAUUGUGUUUGUGUUAUAAUUUGCUUGUAUGGCUGUUUUUUUUUAACCAAAAUUUAAUUGGAAACCUGCAUGUUCUGUAGUGUGUAUUUAUAUGUAUAUUUAUUUCUGCCUGUUAUUUAUUUCAGUGAUCUGACAUCUUGUUUGAAUGACAGUUACUGUACUUUGAAAUUUGGAAUUAAAACACCAAAUGGAAAUCAUUAUUCUCGAUAAACUGCAUGCUAUAAAUAUUAAAUAUAUAUAUAAAAGCGGCAGAUCGCUCGAAAAUAGCAUUUGCCGCGGAAGGUCCGCC